CACUGAAUACUGUACAAUAACAUGUAUAACAAACAAUAAUAAUACUUGAAUGAAUCAUUGGAUAUGUAGAAUUUAAUUAAAAUUUCAUACAUAAAAAUACUACCAGUAAGGGCCUGUUCAUAUGGGCAAAAGUUAUCCGUGUUAGCGAGAACACUUUUCAACAAGUUUACAAGCGAGAUCUCACCUUGGUAUGAAAAUAUUAUGAAAAGUUACAUUGCGUUCAUAUGAGACAACAACUUUUUCCGUGUACCGAGAUCUCGGUGACCGGGAUAAUGUUUUUCCCAUAUGAACACAACUUUCCCGCUUAGCGGGAUGACUUUCUGUUGUGUCAGCAACUUUUCAGUUCAAUUCAUGUUCGGCGCUAUGUCAUAGCUGGAUUUAUUUAGAAAUUUAUUGGAAUUAUUUAGCAAUAUUUCACCGUUUCCCGUUGGCGGGAAUAUUUUAUGAUUCCUGUGUAAUGUAUUUAUAGGCAUGACCCGCGCUAGCUUUGUUCAUGUGAACAGAAGAUAUCAAUACCCCGGGUCAAUGACUUGUCGCGGGGCAGUUGUUUAUCCCGGGAUCAUGUGAACAGGGCCUUAAACCGAUAUAACUUUUGCCCAUAUGAACAAGCCCUUUGAAGUCAGUUUUGUUCCAACUACUGUAUCAUUUUAAUGGCACCUUCAAGGCUACCCCUACUGUAGAACAACUGAACAAUGAAUCUGCCAAUCGGGAGACAAAAUCUAUUUUGUUGACAUUUUUGUUUAAUACAUCAGCUUCAGAUGACCAUUAUUUGUAAUGACUAUAUAUAUAAUAAGAAAGAAAUUGUGAGCAUUAUUGUAUACAAUUGCAUGUGUUUUCCAAUGUGGGCAUCAUACAUUCAUACUGCUCGAUUUAAUAGUAGUCAUCGCCCAGGAAAAUAAAACAACUGCAAAUGGCCACUAUUGAAAUUGUCCCAGGUCAUGCAAUGACUAUUAAUUAAGACCAGUAUUUCUCGCAGGCAUCAAGCCUUGAGACUUCAUUAUGCAUAAGUUAUUUGAUAUACAGUAAAACCCCACCA